rnacentral:rRNA from 1 species
UACGGAGGGGGCUAGCGUUGUUCGGAAUUACUGGGCGUAAAGCGCACGUAGGCGGCUUUGUAAGUUAGAGGUGAAAGCCCGGGGCUCAACUCCGGAAUUGCCUUUAAGACUGCAUCGCUAGAAUUGUGGAGAGGUAAGUGGAAUUCCGAGUGUAGAGGUGAAAUUCGUAGAUAUUCGGAAGAACACCAGUGGCGAAAGCGACUUACUGGACACAUAUUGACGCUGAGGUGCGAAAAGCGUGGGGAGCAAACAGG